rnacentral:rRNA from 1 species
UGGGGGAUAUUGCACAAUGGGGGAAACCCUGAUGCAGCGACGCCGCGUGUAGGAAGACGGUCCUCUGGAUUGUAAACUACUGUCUUCGGGGACGAUAAUGACGGUACCCGAGGAGGAAGCUCCGGCUAACUACGUGCCAGCAGCCGCGGUAAUACGUAGGGAGCGAGCGUUGUCCGGAAUUACUGGGUGUAAAGGGAGCGUAGGCGGGAAGGUAAGUUAGAGGUGAAAGUCAGUGGCUCAACCAUUGAAUUGCCUCUGAUACUGUCGGGCUAGAGAACAGAUGCAGCAGGCGGAAUGAGUAGUGUAGCGGUGAAAUGCUUAGAUAUCACGAAGAACUCCGAUUGCGAAGGCAGCUCACUGGAGUGUCACUGACGCUGAUGCUCGAAAGUGUGGGUAUCAAACA